AUGAACGCUAGCUACAGGCUUAACACAUGCAAGUCGCGGGGCAGCAUGUCGGUUGCUGCAACCGAUGAUGGCGACCGGCGCACGGGUGAGUAACGCGUAUCCAACCUGCCCUUCACCACGGAAUAAUCCAGUGAAAAUUGGUCUAAUACCGUAUGAGGUCAUACGAUGGCAUCAGAAUAUGACGAAAGGUUUAGCGGUGAAGGAUGGGGAUGCGUCUGAUUAGCUUGUUGGCGGGUAACGGCCCACCAAGACGACGAUGGGUAGGGGUUCUGAGAGGAAGGUCCCCCACAUUGGAACUGAGACACGGUCCAAACUCCUACGGGAGGCAGCAGUGAGGAAUAUUGGUCAAUGGACGCAAGUCUGAACCAGCCAAGUAGCGUGCAGGAUGACGGCCCUAUGGGUUGUAAACUGCUUUUAUGCGGGGAUAAAGUGUGGGACGUGUCCCAUAUUGCAGGUACCGCAUGAAUAAGGACCGGCUAAUUCCGUG
rnacentral:rRNA from 1 species